rnacentral:rRNA from 2 species
AUAAGGAAAGUAAAGAAGGGCGCAUGGCGGAUGCCUUGGCUCUCGGAGGCGAUGAAGGACGUGAUAAGCUGCGAUAAGCUCCGGGGAGGUGCAAAUAACCUUUGAUCCGGGGAUUUCCGAAUGGGACAACCCGGCGUGUUGAAGACACGCCACCUGAUCAUUUCAGGAGCUAACGCAGGGAACUGAAACAUCUUAGUACCUGCAGGAAAAGAAAAUAAACAAUGAUUCCCCCAGUAGUGGCGAGCGAACGGGGAACAGCCCAAACCAUCCAUGUUACGGCAUGGGUGGGGUUGUAGGACUACGCCGUUGCAUGAAGACAUCAGAGAAGAACUUUCUGGAAAGAAAGACCAUAGAGCAUGACAGUUGCGUAUUCGAAUGUUGUCGAAGCAUAGUAGUAUCCUGAGUAGCGCGGAGCACGAGGAAUUCUGCGUGAAUCUGCCGGGACCAUCCGGUAAGGCUAAAUACUCCCGAGAGACCGAUAGCGAACCAGUACCGUGAGGGAAAGGUGAAAAGCACUUCGAACAGAAGAGUGAAAUAGUUCCUGAAACCGUGCGCCUACAAGCGGUCGGAGCUCGUUAAUGAGUGACGGCGUGCCUUUUGCAUAAUGAACCUACGAGUUGCCUUUGCCGGCAAGGUUAAGUGUGACGACACACGUAUCCGAAGCGAAAGCGAGUCUGAAGAGGGCGUAUAGUCGGCAGUGGCAGACGCGAAACCAAGUGAUCUACCCUUGGCCAGGUUGAAGGCUGGGUAACACCAGCUGGAGGACCGCACCAAUAAGCGUUGAAAAGCUUCUGGAUGAGCUGAGGGUAGGGGUGAAAGGCUAAUCAAACUUGGAGAUAGCUCGUACUCCCCGAAAUGCAUUUAGGUGCAGCCUUGCGGGUUACUGAUGUGAGGUAGAGCGACUGAUAAGAUGCGAGGGCUUCACCGCCUAUCAAGUCUUGACAAACUCCGAAUGCGCAUCAGUUCUACCGCAGGAGUGAGGGCAUGGGUGCUAAGGUCCGUGCCCGAGAGGAGAAGAAUCCGGACCACCUGCUAAGGUCCCGAAAUGACAGCUAAGUUAAACUAACGAAGUCUGACUGCUAAGACAGCUAGGAUGUUGGCUUGGAAGCAGCCAUUCAUUUAAAGAGUGCGUAACAGCUCACUAGUCGAGGAGUCGGGCGUGGAUAAUAAUCGGGUAUCAAGUUGUCUACCGAAGCAGUGGGAUCAUUUAUAUGAUCGGUAGGGGAGCAUUCCAGUCAGCGUCGAAGGCGUACCGUGAGGUAUUCUGGAGCGUCUGGAAAAGCAAAUGUAGGUAUAAGUAACGAUAAAGGGGGCGGGAAACCCCCUCGCCGAAAGACUAAGGUUUCCUGAUCAACGCUAAUCGGAUCAGGGUCAGUCGGGUCCUAAGGCUCAGCCGAACGGCGAUGCCGAUGGCAGAAACGGUUAAUAUUCCGUUACUACCUUCAGGAGUGACGUGGAGACGCAGUAGUGACAGUGCCGCCAUCUGACGGAAUAGAUGGUUGAAGGGUGUAGGAGUCGAUCAUGGCAGGCAAAUCCACCAUGAGAUCCGAACCUGAUAGUAUGCCGCGUCCUUCGGGACAAGGCAAUAGUGCGCGUAAGCAUGCUGCCGAGAAAAUCCGCUAAACUUAAUCCUGCAGGUACCCGUACCGCAAACGGACACACGUAGUCGGGAUGAAUAUUCUAAGGCGCUUGAGUGAUUCACGGUUAAGGAACUAGGCAAACUGACCCUGUAACUUCGGGAUAAAGGGUCCCUACCCGGUGACGGGAGGGCGCAGAGAAUAGGUCCAGGCAACUGUUUAACAAAAACACAGGGCUGUGCUAAAUCGAAAGAUCCUGUAUACAGCCUGACACCUGCCCGGUGCUGGAAGGUUAAGAGGAGACGUCAUCGUUGAGAGAAGCGUUGAAUUGAAGCCCCAGUAAACGGCGGCCGUAACUAUAACGGUCCUAAGGUAGCGAAAUUCCUUGUCGGGUAAGUUCCGACCUGCACGAAUGGUGUAAUGAUCUGGACGCUGUCUCAACCGUGAGCUCAGUGAAAUUGUAGUAUCGGUGAAGAUGCCGAUUACCCGCGAUGGGACGAAAAGACCCCGUGAACCUUUACUAUAGCUUAUCAUUGAAUCUGGGCACGUGAUGUGUAGGAUAGGUCGGAGGCUUUGAAGCAGGUACGCCAGUAUUUGUGGAGCCGCUGUUGAAAUACGACCCUUUAUUUGUUUGGAUUCUAACCCGUGGAACGGGGACAUUGAUUGGUGGGUAGUUUGACUGGGGUGGUCGCCUCCAAAAGCGUAACGGAGGCUUCUAAAGGUGCCCUC